CCUACGGGUGGCAGCAGUGAGGAAUAUUGGUCAAUGGGCGCGAGCCUGAACCAGCCAAGUAGCGUGAAGGAUGACUGCCCUACGGGUUGUAAACUUCUUUUAUAAAGGAAUAAAGUGAGGCACGUGUGCCUUUUUGUAUGUACUUUAUGAAUAAGGAUCGGCUAACUCCGUGCCAGCAGCCGCGGUAAUACGGAGGAUCCAAGCGUUAUCCGGAUUUAUUGGGUUUAAAGGGACCGUAGAUGGGUUGUUAAGUCAGUUGUAAAAGCUUGCGGCUCAACCGUAAAAUUGCAAUUGAUAUUGGCAGCCAUGAGUACAUUUGAGGUAGGCGGAAGUAGUGGUGUAGCGGGGAAAUGCUUAGAUACCAAGAAGAAAUCGGAUUGCGAAGGCAGCUUACUAAA
rnacentral:rRNA from 1 species